rnacentral:lncRNA from 1 species
CAUUUUUCAGAACACGAUGCAGACAUGCACAACUACUUGAGACAGGGACUCCAAAAGUGAUGAGGAAGGAGACAGCAAAGGGACCCAUCUGUCCCAAUCUCUAUCUGGACCAGUAGUCAUAUGACACGUGCUGUGUACAUUGAAGAGAUAAAUUUCCAAAUUCCAUUGCAAAGUAAACAAGAGUAUAACUGGAAAACGUCAUUGGAAAAGGAGGACGUAAAAAUGUAAGGCUUCUAUUACGUGUCCUUUGGGAAACAGGGCAGGACAAUAGCAGCCUGUGUUGUUAAAGAACACAUUCAGACUUGAGGUACAUUAGCUUUGAACCUUCCUUGGGUCACAGAAUCCUUCUACAAAUAUUUAGAAGCAAUUGCAGCUUGCCGAUUUGGUCAUUGUGGCAAUAAAAAUGCCAAAGAAUAAAGAGCGAUCAGUGUGGUUGGACAUUUUUGAAAGUUAGGAGAGUAUAUGCAACACAUUUAGAUGCAUGGGAACACUUGGGUAACGUGUGUGAGGGUAGAGGCAGAGUGACUGUCAGGUCACACUUGACCAAUGAAUGAUAUCAGUUAGAACAAAAAUUUGGAACACAGAAUGGAUAGAGAUGCUUGACUCAGCAGUUUGGGAUCUUCCCUUCUCUUUCAGUACUGGGUAAGUAUGUGUUGCAUAGACAUGGACCUUCACCCUUGGAACAUAUGAAACAAGUAUUAACUUAGAAUGUUUUCCGGAAAUAUAUAGAAUAAAUCCCACAUGCAUAUCAACGUAAUGUCCUUCGUUUCGUUAACUUCUUAAAGAAACUCUGGAUAAUGACUUCAGGACAGAACAAGCCAAUGUUUCCAGGGAUGGCAAGGGAUGAAAUGCAAAUAGUAGGAAUGGAAGUGGAUGAAGGGAAGAGGAAGGGAAACGGACAGUACUUCCAUUUUAAAUGGAAGAAGCCCCACACCAUCCAAUUUCGGUGGGAACAGUCAAAACUCAGGAGAAGUGCAUGUAAAUGGAUGGCUUAGAGAUAUAAUGGCAGGGGUCUCUUAGAGGCCAAGAAACCAGGCAUCCUAGGGAGCUAUGGAAGUAGAAGGAUAUCAGACAACUUACGGAAGUCUUUCUUCAGUUCCUCUGAAAAAAAAAGAGCAAUGUUCAAUUUCAAUUUCACAAGAUGGAAACGCGAAAUAAAUGGAAAUUUCUUGAAAUUCAGUAUUUAAAAUUACCACCAGCAAGGUUUAGCUCACCCCACACUCACACACACACACACACACACACACACACACACACAUACACAAACACACAGCAAGAGAUCUACACAGUGGCUCAGGUAAGCAGUGGAAUACGUUAUAAGAACUUGCCUUUUUCAUGUUCAGUCCUUGCUGAAAAGUAAAGGAAGACAGGAAGAAUUUAUUGCAAAGAAAGGUACAUUGCAGGAAAUGAGCAGCACCGCCAUUUGAAACCCUUUCAUAGUUUACUCUGUGAUGCAAAUUGACCCAUAUUUGUGAGAAUUAGAACCUCAACUUUCCAAAGGACAUGUCAUCCAUCAGAGGCACAGUUUUUUUACAUCCUUCCACUACUUAGUGCAAAAGGAAUGAAGAUAGACAAGGAAACCAUGAGGGGAGAAAUGAUAGGACUUCCUUUAGUAUUAGCAAUAUCAAUCCGUCCUCUUUAGUCAGACUGACAUGUUUUUCAGAAGACGAUGCCGACAUGCUGACAUACAUGAGUCAGGCACUCCAAAAGUGAUGAUGAAGGGGACAGUAAAGGCACCCACCUGUCCCAAUCUCUAUCUGGGUCAGUACUCAUAUGACAUGUGCUGUGUACAUUGAAGAGAGAAAUUUGUAAAUUCCAUUCCAAAGAAAACAAGAGUAUAACUGGAAAACGUCAUUGGAAAAGGAAGACGUAAAAAUGUAAGGAUUCUAUAAUGUGUCCUUUGGGAAAAAUCC